rnacentral:rRNA from 1 species
AUUGAACGCUGGCGGCAGGCCUAACACAUGCAAGUCGAGCGGAUGAAGGGAGCUUGCUCCUGGAUUCAGCGGCGGACGGGUGAGUAAUGCCUAGGAAUCUGCCUUGUCGUUGGGGAUAACGUCCGGAAACGGGCGCUAAUACCGCAUACGUCCUGAGGUAGAAAGUGGGGGAUCUUCGGACCUCACGCUAUCAGAUGAGCCUAGGUCGGAUUAGCUAGUUGGUGGGGUAAAGGCCUACCAAGGCGACGAUCCGUAACUGGUCUGAGAGGAUGAUCAGUCACACUGGAACUGAGACACGGUCCAGACUCCUACGGGAGGCAGCAGUGGGGAAUAUUGGACAAUGGGCGAAAGCCUGAUCCAGCAAUGCCGCGUGUGUGAAGAAGGUCUUCGGAUUGUAAAGCACUGUAAGUUGGGAGGAAGGGCAGUAAGUUAAUACCUUGCUGUUUUGACGUUACCAACAGAAUAAGCACCGGCUAACUUCGUG